GACGAACGCUGGCGGCGUGCUUAACACAUGCAAGUCGAACGAGUGGCGAACGGGUGAGUAACACGUGGGUGAUCUGCCUUGCACUUCGGGAUAAGCUUGGGAAACUGGGUCUAAUACCGGAUAUUGCAAGAUGAGCGCGAGGCCUAUCAACUUGUUGGUGGGGUAAUGGCUACCAAGGCGCGACGGGUGGACGGCCUGAGAGGGUGUACGGCCACAGUGUGACUGGGAUGCCGGCCGUACUCCUACUUGAGGCAUCAGUGGGGAAUAUUGCACAAUGGGCGGAAUCCUGAUGCAGCGUCUCCGCGUGGGAGAGGACGGUCUUCGGGGUGUAAACUCCUUUCGACAGGGACGCGGUACCUGUAUAAGAAGCACCGGCUAACUACGUGCCAGCAGCCGCGGUAAUUC
rnacentral:rRNA from 1 species